rnacentral:ncRNA from 1 species
GACCCUGAGUCUUAUCGAAGGGUGAACUUAAUCAGGCAGCUUCCCGAAGUAAUUCGGGUUGAAAAACGAGGUGAAUUCGGGGAAACCCCAAAGUUGCUAAAAUCGACCGGGCAAUCCCGAGCCAAGCUCCGACGUAAGUCAGAGAAGGUGUAGAGACUAUCUCGCAAGAGAGUACUCCGAUGUGAGGUCGGAGGAAGCGCCUCGCUCCCCUCGCGGGAGAUGAUAUAGUCCGUCCCUUUUGGGAACAUAAGG